rnacentral:rRNA from 1 species
UACGCAGGGUGCAAGCGUUAAUCGGAAUUACUGGGCGUAAAGCGUGCGCAGGCGGUGAUGUAAGACAGAUGUGAAAUCCCCGGGCUCAACCUGGGAACUGCAUUUGUGACUGCAUCGCUGGAGUGCGGCAGAGGGGGAUGGAAUUCCGCGUGUAGCAGUGAAAUGCGUAGAUAUGCGGAGGAACACCGAUGGCGAAGGCAAUCCCCUGGGCCUGCACUGACGCUCAUGCACGAAAGCGUGGGGAGCAAACAGG